UCUCUAGGCUAUGGUUUUUCUCGUGUUGUGAGUAAAGCCAAAGCUCAGGCCUCAGACUCAUCGGAUGAGAACCAAAUCGGUGAAGGAACACUAGCAAUAUGAUAGCCAUUAGAAGAAACACGAAUCUGCAUUGCUUGGACCUACAACCAAAACGAAGGGAAGAUAGUCCUUAUAAGUGUAUAGUGUUUUUAGUUAACCCCAUUUUUAAAAGAAUGUACAGAAUUAUAGCAAGCAAGAAGCUAUGCAGGAGAGCAAUUUUUUUUUAUGGCAUAAUAACCACUAGGUGAUAGACCUUUUAAUUGCUUUGGUUCGAAAAGUUGUUGUUUUUGCAUUUCAG
rnacentral:misc_RNA from 1 species